AAUAAUUUCAACCGGAAGUGACCGCUGAACUCCCACCUGACAUGACGCUAAGUGUAACAACAAUGGCGGCCACACUAGUCCCCGCACAUCUACCAUGAAGCGGUCUUGUUUUGGGGGUUCAGUCAGAAAGUUACCGUUAUGUUCUGGAACUCGGCAGCCCAGCGGGCCGGCGUUGUCCGGUCCUGGUGUCGAACCGCCGGCCUUAUCAGGCGCCGUCAGUCACUCUUCACCUCCGCCAAGUUGACCCGAGAAGACGUCGAGGUGAGCCGGACACUGAGGGAGUGUUCCCUGGCGGUGAGCCCCUUCAGCACGGUGCGAGCGCGGCUUGGGUGCAGUAUAUCCAUCCAGCCUGUGGACCCGCAUGCCUUCCCUGAAGCCGACCGAGCCUUCGUCACUAUCCGCGGAGGGAAGUCGCCAAGCGGCGAGGAGGAGGGUGUGGAUGACUUUGACGUCCAUUACGACGAAGACGGCAAGGAGCUGCUCAUCUUGGCCGAGAGGGACGACAGCAGCCUGUCGGUUCAUGUGUCUGCUCCCAUUAAGAGUAAUAUCGUCAUUAACACCCGUGGGAAAGGCAACGUGGAGGUGAAGAAUAUGGAGUGUGACAUCUGCCAGGUGCACACAGAAAAAGGCACAUGUUCACUGCACUCCGUCAAGGGUCAUCAAGUGGAGGUGCGCUCGGGUGGAGACGUCAGCGUGGGCACCGUCCACGGCAACGUGGACAUCAGCGCUUCCGGAGACAGUGCGGUUCGUGUCAAGAAGCUGCAGGGCACCACCAUGAGGGUCUCCACGGAACAUGGCGGUCUGAGGGUCAAGGCCAUCUAUGCCGAGUCCAGCUGCAUCUCAUCCAGCACGGGGGACGUGGAACUUGGACUCGUGCACGGGGACGCCUCAGUGAAGAACACAUCAGGGGACACACACAUAGACGGUUCAAAUGGCUCCUUGAAGGUUUCCUCUCAAACCGGGGUCAUUGACGUCUACGUGGGAGACGGAGGAAGCGCCGAGGUGCUCAGCCAGGAAGGAGCGGUGUGCGUACGCGUGCCGUCCUCGCUGAGAGCAGAGGUGGAGCUCACUGGCGCGUCGGUGCACAUCGGCCGUGAUAUGACGUUGCAUCAGCUGCAGAGGAACACCACGGAGAGCCACACCCAAGUUACUGGCUACAUGAACACUGACAGUUCGGCGGCGCAGCGGAUCAAAGUGACGACAAAAAGUGGCUCGGUCAGCCUGAAGACACAAAGCUGGUUCGAGUCCCUGAAGCUGGGGGGAUAAAAAAAAAAGCUCUGGAAACUCUGUGGAAACACUCCCCACCCACAGUGCUUGGUGCCUCGUCUGAGCUGCUGUGACUUAGAUCAGUGGUCCCCAACCUCUUUGUAACUGCGGACCGGUCAACGCUUGAACAUUUUUCCCACGGACCGGGGGGGUCGGGGGGAUGCCGUUGCAGUCGUUCAUGAUGACGGAAGACAGCGGCGGGCAGAGCCUCUCGAUGUAUUUGAUGGCGCGGUCGGUGAAGAGGGAGCCGCUCACGUCCAACUCCCGCAGCCUCCCAUCUUCAGCGUGAACAGACCUCUGCAGUAGAAGACGAAGGCUCUGAUGGCCUGGUCAGACAGCGCCAGACAGCCGGACACGUCCACGUACUCCAGCUCGGCCACGUACUUGCACAGGUUCUGCUCACAUUCAAUCAACGGCUGAAUGACGGAUGGUUAGCCCGCUAAAAAGUAAGAAAUGGUGGUCAUGUCUUGGACGUGAGAGGCGUGUGAAGCUUACUUGUUUCCGAUCACGUUGACGGCCGAGUCUGUGAUCAGACAGCAGUGACUCACACUCAGCUUCUGCAACUUGCACGCCCAGGCGCUCUCGGCCAGGUGCUGGAUCCCCUUGUCCGUCACUCUGAAAGCAGCCAGGCGUCACCAACCCGUCACCCGCUCCCGAUCCCAGAACGAGGGCCACACAGACUUGGUACAGAGCGAGAUGUCCAAGGUCUGCAGGUUCCGCAGGGAAAGCAAACACUUGAGGCCCACGUCGGUCAUCCUCAGGCAGUCGACCACAUGGAGGGUGCGCAGGCUCCGUGAGCUGCAGCACAGCAACUUCCAGCUCACGUGGCUCACAUGCUUGUUCCCUGGAGGCGGCACACAAAAUGAGCCGGGGGGGAGAGACACAAGGUCACUGCUCGCAGGGUUCUCACCCUCAAUGAUGAAAGUCUUCAGUUUGGCCACGUCGGCGAUGGCUGUCAUGCCGACGUCUGUCAGGUUCCUGGCCUCCACCAGCGAGAUGGAGGUCAGGUGGUGACAUUUGGACAUCAAGGCCUGGAAUGUGUGAACAUCUUAUGGUCACAUGACAACAACAAUAGUAGUGAGGAAUACACCGUAGGGCUGUCAUCUUUGGGCAACAAAUCCAUUCUCCAUUCAAAGACUUUUUUAAUACCAUUGGAUGCCAUCUUUAUAAUAAUA